ACUUCUGAGCACUGCCUGAGGAUCUGCCCUUCACAGCCUGAUGGCGACUGAGCUGCCUCCAACUCCAUAACUCAGAGACCACCCCCUGGGAGGCUCCCCCAAUAGGGCACACUGGGAGAGAGCCUGUUCUGGAGCAGGCUGCUUGGGUGUGUUCCUUAUACCACUUCUCAACCCAUCUGCACCUCGCUUUCUCAUCCAUGAGGAAUGGCAAAGAUCCUAGUACCCACGUAAUAGGGCAGAGGUGAGGAAACUAAGACUGCGAGAAGGCAAUCUACUCAGCGUCAUAGCACCAGGAAUUCAGGUGGAGAUAACGAACAGGAAAGUCCCUUGUGAAGUAGAUUAUAAAAGAAAUUGAUAUCCUGGAAUGGAGCUUCCAGAAAUCCACAGCAAGUGUGCCUGUUGAUGUCCCCUGGAGAGCAUUUCCUAUCACCUCUACCCGCAUGUUCCUAGUCUCCCACUGCAAAAGGAGCACAUCGCUUCACACAGCAUCCAACAGCACUUCAUGACAUGGUAUCGAUUCUCUCCCUGUGGACCUCCAUGAAGGGUGUACCCUGAUACCCUGAGAAGGAGGAAAUGUCUGAAUUAAACUGGAGGUGGAAGGCAGCUGUUGCUGAAUCUCUCCAAGUCGUUUUAUUUACUUGGCUGUAGUGAAAGAUAAGAUGGAGAGGAGUCAGACACCAAAGCAAGUGGAAGGGGUAGGAAACUGGAGCAACCUAAGGAACAUUUCUCCUUCACCGAGCACCUUUCUUUCUGAAGGACCCUACUAAGCAUUCACCGAUGAGAUCAGAAAGUGAGCCUGAGUUUUUGAGGACCCACCCUGAAAAUGAAACUCGAUUUCUUCACAUGGUUGUUCCUUUAUUGCUUCAUCCCCUUUUGCCCAUUAUGCCCGGAGGAAUAUUCCAUUAUGACUCUUCUUAAUAAUGUUGCCUUUCCAGUUUGGUCAGAAUGUGUUGUCCGUUCUAUGCCCUAUUAAGCUUCUCUGGUUCCAUGCGCCCAGGGGCGCCUCAUGUCUGCUGCCCAGUGCUCUUGGUCAGCGCCGUCCGUCCUUUUCGGCACAGCCCGGCGGCAGACAGGACCCAAACCGGGCCUCCCUUUCCUGGCUCUUUCUCAGUCUGUGAGGCACUUGAACUCUAGACUUCAAGCAUCAAUAGGGCAAGGGAAAAGAAGGGGAAGGAGAAAGCUAGGAACAGGUCAGGAUCCCAAAACAGAGGGGAAAGGAAUUGAUACUGUUCUGUACAUUGUUAGGUGUUGUCACGUCCUUGGUCGUGAUGGUGCAGCAAGGGUUAAGAUACAGAAAAGUGGCACUAAUAAUAGUAGCAAAGGAAAAAAAAAUGUUUAUGAUAGAAGGUAGACCCUUAAGUUUUGACAUGUUGCCUCUCAAGUCCAGGCCAUUUCUGUAAGCACACCCCAUAGGGGAGGUACACGUCUCUUCCCUGAGGUCAAGACCACCUCUGUGGGCCACAGGAGCAGCACCUGUUCAUGCCAGCAUGUGUGCUUGGCGUCAUUCUCCUUUGUGCUGCUCAUGUAUAGGAUAAGAAGUCAAACCAAACGAAAGUAAGUUAACAGGAUCAGAGGAUUAUUCUUCUCAAGUCUUGAACUUGGGCUAACCUCUGUUUUUGGCCUAGCAUACAUGACAGUGUUGUUCUGCCCAAAGAGUCACUGGGAGAUUUCCAAGGUGAAACUUCCACUCCCCUGUGGCGUCAGGCUGAAGUUCCCUCUGCAGGGCCUUGGAGAGGACUGCACUUCAACCUUCCCCGGGCCCCCUCUCCUGUCCUGCACUGCCUUUUUUUCUCAUGUGCUUAUUAGUAGCCCCUGGGGGUACCUCUUUAAGUAGAUUAUUUGCACAGGAAUCCUCAUCUUAAGGUCAUCUUCCUGGGAAUAUAACCUAAGACAUUUAGCUUAAGGAGCAAGGAAGAGAAGGCUGCGCCUGCACUUGGUGCUUACCAGGGCCACGUAAUGACUUUCCUGCAGCAGUGCCAGAUUUAGCGAAUAGAAAUUUGAAUUUCAGAUAAACAGGAUGCCCAGUUAAUUUGAAUUUCAGAUCACAACAAACAGUCUUUUAGAGUAAGUAGGCCCUAUGCAAUACUUGAGCAAUAUAUACACAUUGUGCGUAUACACAUAUAUAUAUAUACACAUAUAU